UUCCGGUUGAUCCUGCCGGAGGUCACUGCUAUUGGGGUUCGGCUAAGCCAUGCGAGCGGAGGGCGCGGUCGAGAGAUCGUGGCCCCGCACACGGCUCAGUAACACGUAGUCAACCUACCCUUGGGACGGGGACAACCUCGGGAAACUGAGGCUAAUUCCCGAUAGGCGAGGGACGCUGGGAUGCCUCCUCGCCCAAAGCUCCGGCGCCCGAGGAUGGGACUGCGGCCUAUCAGGCUGUUGGUGGUGUGACGGACCACCAAACCUACGACGGGUACGGGCGAUGGGAGUCGGAGCCCGGAGAUGGGGACUGAGACAAGGCCCCAGGCCCUACGGGGCGCAGCAGGCGCGAAAACUCCGCAAUGCGCGCAAGCGUGACGGGGGGAUCCCAAGUGCCGUUGGUCUUUUGAUCGACGGCUUUUCAGAAGUCCAAGAAGCUUCCGGAAUAAGGGCUGGGUAAGACUGGUGCCAGCCGCCGCGGUAACACCAGCAGCCCAAGUGGUGACCACGAUUAUUGGGCCUAAAGCGCUCGUAGCCGGGUCAGCAAGUCCCUUGUGAAAUCGGGCCGCCUAACGGUUCGGCGUGCAAGGGGUACUGUUGGUCUUGAGGCCGGGAGAGGUCGGAGGUACUCCUGGGGUAGCGGUGAAAUGCUCUAAUCCUGGGGGGACCACCAGUGGCGAAGGCGUCCGACCAGAACGGACCUGACGGUGAGGGGCGAAGGCUAGGGGAGCGAACGGGAUUAGAUACCCCGGUAGUCCUAGCUGUAAAGCAUGCGGGCCAGGUGUCUAGUGCUCCUCGAGGGCACUAGGUGCCGGAGGGAAGCCGUUAAGCCCGCGCCUGGAAGUACGGCGCAAGGCUGAAACUUAAGAAUGCGGGGAGCACACAAGGGUGGGACUGCGUCAUGGACUCACGCCG
rnacentral:rRNA from 1 species